UGUUGAAGGAGCACAUUAAAGUUAGGCCUCGGCGUGUGGUUUGCAUUUGAGCGUUGCUGCUGCUCUUGAGGAGAAUUCUCCUCCCUACAAUUGGCUGGUAACUCAACCAUGGAUGAAAAACCAGAGAAGAGAAAGAGGCUUAGGCUUGUGUGAGUACUGGAGUGAAGCAUAUUGGGAGCAAAUCCCUUGCUUUUAUAGAAGAAUUGGAACGUGGGGCCUUGUUAGGUGUUUGCUAUGCAUGGCAAGUUUCACAUUCUACCUGCCCUUUUUCAAAUUUUGCUUUGGUCCACUCAAUUUUUUAUUCUUUUUAAGUAUUUGGAUAACUGACCAGAUUAUAGUAUUAACCUAUGUCUAUUGUCUCUUUUAAUAAUAAUGUCUCCAUUGUUUGAAAUUUGAGUUAUCUUUGCAUCUAAUAUUUAUUGGUUAUACAAGUACUGGUUGUAUUAAUUAUAUAUAGUGCGAGUGGCUUAAGUGAUACACAUCACCUUAGAUUUUUAAAUAAGAAAUUGAUCUUCAUCAAAUCUUAUGUCGUUUUUAAUAUUGCACGUGUUUUGCAAAGAACAAUCUUAUAAUUUAUGUAAUUUAUGGGGUUCAAAUAUAAAUUAUUGUGUUCAUUCAUUCAUAUGCAAUUCUUUACGUUACACGUACUUGUGAAGAUUGAUCAGAUAGUGGAUUUGAUUUUGUGUUAAAAUAAAAACUAUAGUAUUCAUUUAUUCUUAUGCAGUUCCUAAUAUUACAUGUGUUUUGCAAAGAUGGAUAUUAUAAUUUAUUUAAUUUACGAGAUUCAAAUAUAAAUUAUUAUCGUCAUGUAUUCAUAUGUAGUUAUCAAUAUUACUCGUGUUUGUGAAGAUCGAUCAUAUAAUUGAUUUUAUUUUUAGAGUUCAAAUACAAACCAUCGUCUUCAUUUAUUAUUAUGUAGUUCUCAAUAUUACACGUGUUUUGUCAAUAUCAAUCAUAUAAUUUAUUUAAUUUAUUGGAUUCAAAUAUAAAUUAUUGUCGUCAUUCAUUCAUACGUAGUUAUUUAAAUUACAUGUGUUCAUGCAAACAAAUUUCAAAAUUUAUAUAAUUUAUAGGAUUCAACUACAAAUUAAUUAUUAUUUUGGUUUGCAGAAUUACGUGUAAAAUUCGUAAAAAGUUUAAUAUAUAAUUUGGUAACUAAGUUUGACACUUUUUUUAAAUCUGGAACUUGUGUUAUUUUUUGAUUCAAUGUGGUAUCUAUAUUUGAACAAAGUUACACAUUUCGGUACCUGAAUGUAACAGUGUUAACUUUUAGUGUUUAAUUCGGGUUUUAGAAUUGAUUUGAUGAAAAUUAAUAAUUUAAUUAAUAAUAUUAUCAAUUGACUUUCAUCAUAUAAAUCGCGAAACCUAAAUUAGAUAACAUCCAUCGGACUGUAUUUGACAAAUUAAACACAAAAUUAAUCAAAUACAAAAAAGCAAACCUAUUAAUAUUAGCAAUUAACGUUCAUCAUAUCAACUCUAAAAUUUGAAUAAACACUAAAAAGUUAAUAUCAUUACUUUUCAGUACCAAAAAAUAUAUAACUUUUGCCAAUAUAUGUACCAAAUUGGACAAAAAAUUAACAUAGAUACCACAUUAAAAAAAUGUCAAACUUAAAUACUAAAUGAUAUAUUAUAACUUCAUAAAAUAAUAAUUUUUAAUUAAAUAAAAAUAACAAGUUAAUGCAAAAAAAUAAAUCAAAAAAUAUUAAUUAAAUAUUCCUUAAUGAAUGUCAUUUUCAAUGUGACCCUAUAAAUCCAAAUCGAAAAUAUAUUCAUAAAAUUGGCUAAUGCUUUAUUCUUUUGGAAAAAGAAAUUUCUUUUUUAUAAUUUUAUUAGACUAAUUAAAAUUACAUAAUACUAAAAAAAAACUUGUUUUAAUUAUUGUGUAUCGAAGUUAAAAUUGAUUUUUUUUCGUUUUUCCAAUUAUUUGUAAUGUUAUUUGGUAACUUUUUUUAAUAGUUAUUUUUUAACAUUUUCUUUUAAUUUGUAACGUUUAAUUGACUAUGUAUGGAAAUAUUAUUAGCUGAGUUGUCAAAAAUCACAUAUAUGGUUAUGAAUCUAAAAUCAAAUAUUUGGUUAUGAAUAUGUCCAAAAAAAAAAAGACAUAUAUGGUUAAAAAAAUCUAGGUCAUUAAUUUUAGACACCUCAAUUAAUACUGGUUUAUUUUUUUAUUGUUUUUUGAAAUAUUAAUUUUAAUUUUAAUUAAUAGGUCAAAAUUAGUUGGUAUAUUACUAUAUACUAUAUAUUAUUCUGUAUUCUUGCGCGAUGCUGAAUGAGUUGUGUAUAUUACUUUUAUAACUUUUUUUAUAAUAUUUGUUUUUCUUUACAGCUUUUAAUUUUUUUUGAAAUAAAUUAAAAAAUAAAUGUAAUUAAAAAUUAUAUUUAAAAAUAUUUUACUAAUUUAGAAUAAGGUAUAUUAAUAUUAUUUUAAUUUUAAAUAUAUUUAAUAAUAAAAUAACACAAAAAUAACAUAGGUACCACAUCAAAGAAAGAGUCAAACUUGGAUACUAAAUAAUAUAUUAAACCUUUAUAAAAUAAUAAUUUUUAAUUGAAUAAAAAUAACAAGUUAAUGGAAAAAAAUAAAUCAAAAAAAUAUUAAUUUAAUAUUACUUAAUGAAUGUCAUUUUCAAUUUGACCGUAUAAAUCAAAAUUGAAAAUAUAUUCAAUAAAUUGGCUAAUGCUUUAUUUUUUUUGGCAAAAGAAAUUUCUUUUUAUAAUUUUAUUACACUAAUUAAAAUUAAAUAAUACUAAAAGAAAACCUUUUUUUAUUGUUGUGUAUCGAAGCUAAAAUCGAUUUUUUUUUCAUUUUGUCAAUCAUUCUCUCAUGUUUUUUUAAUAGUUAUUUAGUAACGUUUUUUUUUUAAUUUCUAAUGUUUAAUUAGUUGCGUUGUCCAAAAUCACAUAUGGUUAUGAAUCUAAAAUCACAUAUAUGGCACGAGGGUUACUGGAAUAUAAGCUGGGAUGGAGGGUUGGAACAGGUGAGAACAUAUCGAUUUGGCAAGAUAGGUGGGUACCACAAUUGGUGGGGAACAAGAUUAACACACAACCCAUUCAUGGUUCAGUUCAAACAGUGAGUCAACAAAUUGAUCAGGAAAAUCGAAUAUGGAAAGAAGAGCUAAUCUCUAGUCUUUUUUCUGAUGAGGAGGUGGAAGCGAUCAAAUGUAUUCCCUUAUCUAAAACUAGAUGUGAUGACUGUCAAGUGUGGCAAGGGGAGAAAACAGGUCAGUACAUUGUUCGUAGUGGAUAUAAAGAGCUCAUGUCUCAAAGCGACACUACGGAAAUAUCAGAGGAUAUCCAAAUGGUGUUCAAAAAAUUGUGGCCUUUAUCUAUACCUGCUAAGAUCAAAAUUACGAUGUGGUGAGCUCUAAGAGGAUUUUUGCAAACAGGCCAAGUACUGUUUAAUCGAAGGAUUAGAAACUCUGCAAUUUGUUCUCGAUGCAAUCUGGGUUCAGAAUCUUUGCUACAUGUGGUCGCAGAUUGUAAUAAUGUAAAAGAAAUUUGGGAUGGAAUAGGCAUUUCCUGGGAUAGUAAUUUGAAUUUGGAGACUUUUUGGCAUUGGUUUAUUCACCUGGUUCAACAUAAGGCAGAGAGGAUAUGGGAGAAGGUGGUCAUAGCGAUUUGGGCAAUAUGGUGGGCUCAUAACAAACAAGUGAUGGAAGGUAUCUCAACAACAAGGCAGAGUACAAUAGCAAAAAUUCUAUGCAUGGUUGAAGAAUUGAAAGUGUUGAAUGAGAAAUUACCUGUAAUAAAGGCAGUGGGUUCAGACUGUUGGAGACCACCUCAAGAGCCGUGGGUUAAACUGAACUUUGAUGCAGCCUACAAAACCCAAACAAACAAAUCAUGUUCAGGUUUUAUUAUUAGAGAUGGGAGAGGAAAGGUAAUGGGAAGUGGGGUUACUCAUCAUGGCAAUGUCUCAGAUGCAUUCAUGGCAGAAGCUGUUGCUUGCUUUCAAGGGCUUCUUUUUGCCGAAGAGACGGGGUUUACCACAGUGGAGGUUGAAGGAGAUUCGAGAACGGUAAUUGAGAAAAUUAACCAGGAAGGGUUUGGUCGAGCAGACUUGGAUUCUGUCAUCUUAGAUAUCAAAUCGAUGCGGUGAUUUUUUCAUCAACUUAGCUUUAAACAUGUAAGAAGGGAAGCUAAUCGGGUGGCACACUUUAUUGCAAGGGAGGGGAGUUGCAGAUCAGAAAAUACAUUUUGGAUGGAGGAUUCCCCGUCGACAGUAAGGGACAUGGUGGUUGCAGAAGAGAUGAGAGAGGCUUCCCAAACGGAUGACUGAUUUGGAUGGGUUCAUUCGGAUUAGCCUGAUUCUUACAUUGUAGGCUAUGAUUCAGUUCAACAAAAAAGAUUCAAGGGUGUUCUGAAGUUUUUCUACUGGGUUUCCUGUUUUUUAGUUUUUGUUGAUUUCAGAUGGUUUUGUUUUUGAUUAAAGCUGCACUCUGAUUUUGGUUUUGGUUUAUGGAAA
rnacentral:lncRNA from 1 species